rnacentral:rRNA from 1 species
UCGCGAAAACUUGUCAAUGGGGGGCAACCCCCGAACAGGGAAUUCCAAGUGCAUGCGUUUUACGUAUGCUUUUCGGCUGUCUAAAAAACAAUCGGAAUAAGGGCUGGGUAAGACAGGUGCCAGCCGCCGCGGUAAUACCUGCAGCCCAAGUGGUGACCGUUAUUAUUGAGCCUAAAGCGUCCGUAGCCGGUCCGGUAAACCCUCGGGUAAAUCGAGCAGCUUAACUGUUCGAACACCGGGGGGACUGCCGGACUUGGGACCGGGAGAGGUCAGAGGUACUCCAGGGGUAGGGGCUAAAUCCUGUAAUCCUUGGAGGACCACCAGUGGCGAAGGCGUCUGACUAGAACGGAUCCGACGGUAAGGGACGAAACCCUGGGGCGCGAAACCGGAUUAGAUACCCGGGUAGUCCAGGGCGUAAACGCUGCAGGCUUGGUGUCGGGGACCCUACGAGGGUGCUCGGUGCCGGAGUGAAGAUGUUAAGCCUGCCGCUUGGGUAGUACGUCCGCAAGGAUGAAACUUAAAGGAAUUGGCGGGAGAGCACUGCAACGGGAGGAGCGUGCGGUUCAAUUGGAUUCG